rnacentral:rRNA from 1 species
AUUGAACGCUGGCGGCAUGCCUUACACAUGCAAGUCGAACGGUAACAGGUCUUCGGAUGCUGACGAGUGGCGUACGGGUGAGUAAUACACCGGAACGUGCCCGAUCGUGGGGGGUAACGAAGCGAAAGCUUUGCUAAUACCUCAUACGAUCUACGUAUGAAACCAGGGGACCGCCAGGCCUUGCGUGACCGGAGCGGCCGAUGGCAGAUUAGGUAGUUGGUGGGACAUAAGCUUACCAAGCCGACGAUCUGUAGCUGGUCUGAGAGGACGACCAGCCACCCUGUGAGUGAGACAGGGCCGAGACUCCUGCAGGGAGAAGCAGUGGGGAAUUUUGGAGGAUGCAGGAGAGCCUGAUCCAGCCAUGCCGCGUGCAGGAUGAAGGCGUUAGGGUUGUAAACUGAUUUUGUACGGAGCGAAAAGAAUCUGGUUAAUACGUGGGGUCCAUGACGGUACCGUAAGAAUAAGCACCGGCUAACUACGUG